rnacentral:rRNA from 1 species
GUGGGGAAUCUUGGACAAUGGGCGCAAGCCUGAUCCAGCCAUGCCGCGUGAGUGAUGAAGGCCCUAGGGUUGUAAAGCUCUUUCGCAGGUGAAGAUAAUGACGGUAACCUGAGAAGAAGCCCCGGCUAACUUCGUGCCAGCAGCCGCGGUAAUACGAAGGGGGCUAGCGUUGUUCGGAAUUACUGGGCGUAAAGCGCACGUAGGCGGAUUGUUAAGUUAGGGGUGAAAUCCCGGGGCUCAACCCCGGAACUGCCUCUAAUACUGGCAAUCUCGAGUCCGAGAGAGGUGAGUGGAAUUCCGAGUGUAGAGGUGAAAUUCGUAGAUAUUCGGAAGAACACCAGUGGCGAAGGCGACACACUGGCUCAUUACUGACGCUGAGGCGCGAAAGCGUGGGGAGCAAACAGGAUUAGAUACCCCUGUAGUCC